rnacentral:rRNA from 1 species
AGAGGGUGACAUCCCCGUACCGGCACGCGCUGCGAGGGCGCCCCGGUCCCUGAGUACGGCAGGACACGAGAAAUCCGGUCGGAAUCUGCGGGGCCCAUCCCGCAAGGCUAAAUACUCCCGGAAGACCGAUAGCGCAUAGUACCGUGAGGGAAAGGUGAAAAGCACCCCGCGAGGGGAGUGAAAGAGAUCCUGAACCCGUGCGCCUACGAGCGGUCGGAGCCCCUUUAUGGGGUGACGGCGUGCCUUUUGCAUAAUGAGCCUACGAGUCAGCGUCGCCGGCGAGGUUAAGCGCCUCAGGCGCGUGAGCCGGAGCGAGAGCGAGCCCGAACAGGGCGUUUUAGUCGGCGGCGCUGAACGCGAAACCCGGUGAUCUACCCUUGUCCAGGCUGAAGUCGGCGUGACAGUCGAUGGAGGGCCGAACCGAUAGGCGUUGAAAAGCCUCCGGAUGAGGCGAGGGUAGGGGUGAAAGGCCAAUCAAACCGGGAGAUAGCUCGUACUCCCCGAAAUGCCUUUAGGGGCAGCCUCGGAGUCAAGUUCCGCGGAGGUAGAGCGACCGACAGGAUGCGAGGGCUUCGCCGCCUAUCAAUUCCUGACGAACUCCGAAUGCCGCGGCACGUUAUCCGGGAGUGAGUCGGCGGGUGCUAAUGUCCGUCGGCGAGAGGGAAAGAGCCCGGAGCGCCGGCCAAGGCCCCCAAUAGCGGCCCGAGUUGCAGGAACGAGGUGGGCCCGCAGAGACAGCCAGGACGUUAGCUUGGAAGCAGCUAUUCGUUCAAAGAGUGCGUAACAGCUCACUGGUCGAGCGGGCCCGCGUGGAUGAUGAACGGGCAUAAGGCCGCAGCCGCAGCCGCGCGGUGCGAAUAGCACCGGUAGGGGAGCAUUCCGGACGGCGUAGAAUGGCAUCCGCGAGGUUGCCUGGAGCGUCCGGAAAAGAAGAUGUAGGCAUGAGUAACGACAAUGCGGGCGAGAGCCCCGCACGCCGCAAGCCCAAGGUUUCCUGAUCAACGUCAUUCGGAUCAGGGUAAGUCGGGUCCUAAGGGUCCCCCGAAAGGGCAAUCCCGAUGGAAGAAUGGUCAAGAUUCCAUUACCCCCGUCUGUUUGCCGUGCGAUGACGGAGAAGUGACACCGCCGCCGCGCGACGGAAUGCGCGGUUUAAGGGAGGUAGGGGU